AGUUCCCUGCUUUGCCCGUGAUGGUUCGGAGGCUCGUUUGAGCCAACGUUUCACCCGAAGAGGAUCGCGACGCCGUGCGGUGUGCAUGCCUCUGUAAGAGGAAGCCUGAAGCGCGGCUUGUGCAGCGGUUCCACCUGCUUUAGCAGGUUCAUCCGACCUCCCCACACGGCAAAGCGGGGCCUUU
rfam:Acidobacteria bacterium RIFCSPLOWO2_12_FTLL_66_21 rifcsplowo2_12_scaffold_259, whole genome shotgun sequence.